GGGAAGCUCAAGUAACUAAUACCAUCCAUGAUAAUUGUCUCCUGGAACAUUAGAGGACUGAAUAAGUCCCAUAAGCAGAGAGAGUUAAAAAAUGCUUGAGGACUAAUAAAGUUGAUCUUGUAGCUUGUCUAGAAACCAAAGUCAAACAACCACAAUCACAGACAAUAUACAGAAAGCUUGGGGAUGAAUGGAACAUGGCACAUAACUAUGAUUAUGCACCAAAUGAGAGGAUAUGGAUAAUAUGGAAAUGGUCAAAUGUCCAUGUUGUACCUGUACAAACCACUGACCAACUG
rnacentral:lncRNA from 1 species